GUCCACGCCCUAAACGAUGCGAACUAGGUGUUGGGGAAGGAGACUUCCUUAGUACCGCAGCUAACGCGUGAAGUUCGCCGCCUGGGGGAGUACGGUCGCAAGAUUAAAACUCAAAGGAAUUGACGGGGACCCGCACAAGCGGUGGAUGAUGUGGAUUAAUUCGAUGCAACGCGAAAAACCUUACCUACCCUUGACAUGCCUGGAAUCCUGCUGAGAGGCGGGAGUGCCCGAAAGGGAACUGGGACACAGGUGCUGCAUGGCUGUCGU
rnacentral:rRNA from 1 species